rnacentral:rRNA from 1 species
UGCAGUCGAACGAGGCUUACGCGAACUUUGUUCGGGUAGACCUAGUGGCGGACGGGUGAGGAACGCGUAAGUACCUACCCCUAGGAGGGGGACAACAACUGGAAACGGUUGCUAAUACCCCAUAUACUGAGGAGUAAAACGGUGAAAACCGCCUAGGGACGGGCUUGCGUCUGAUUAGCUUGUUGGUGGGGUAAUUGCUUACCAAGGCGAUGAUCAGUAGCUGGUCUGAGAGGAUGAUCAGCCACACUGGGACUGAGACACGGCCCAGACUCCUACGGGAGGCAGCAGUGAGGAAUUUUCCGCAAUGGGCGAAAGCCUGACGGAGCAAUGCCGCGUGGAGGACGAAAGCCUGUGGGUCGUAAACUCCUUUUCUCAGAGAAGAAGAUCUGACGGUAUCUGAGGAAUAAGCAUCGGCUAACUCCGUGCCAGCAGCCGCGGUAAUACGGAGGAGGCAAGCGUUAUCCGGAAUGAUUGGGCGUAAAGCGUCCGUAGGUGGCUGUUCAAGUCUGCUGUCAAAGACAGUGGCUUAACUACUGAAAGGCAGUGGAAACUGAACAGCUAGAGUACGGUAGGGGCAGAGGGAAUUCCCGGUGUAGCGGUGAAAUGCGUAGAUAUCGGGAAGAACACCGGUGGCGAAAGCGCUCUGCUGGGCCGUAACUGACACUGAGGGACGAAAGCUAGGGGAGCGAAUGGGAUUAGAUACCCCAGUAGUCCUAGCCGUAAACGAUGGAAACUAGGUGUAGCCUGUAUCGACCCGGGCUGUGCCGAAGCUAACGCGUUAAGUUUCCCGCCUGGGGAGUACGCACGCAAGUGUGAAACUCAAAGGAAUUGACGGGGGCCCGCACAAGCGGUGGAGUAUGUGGUUUAAUUCGAUGCAACGCGAAGAACCUUACCAGGGCUUGACAUGUCCGGAAUCUUGGGUGAAAGCCGAAGAGUGCCUUCCGGGAGCCGGAACACAAGGUGGGUGCAUGGGUUUCCGUCAGCUCCGUGUCGUGA